CCUACGGGUGGCAGCAGUGAGGAAUAUUGGUCAAUGGGCGCGAGCCUGAACCAGCCAAGUCGCGUGAGGGAAGACGGUCCUAUGGAUUGUAAACCUCUUUUGUCGGGGAGCAAAAGACGCCACGCGUGGCGUUCCGAGAGUACCCGAAGAAAAAGCGUCGGCUAACUCCGUACCAGCAGCCGCGGUACUACGGAGGAUGCGAGCGUUAUCCGGAUUUAUUGGGUUUAAAGGGUGCGCAGGCGGAAGAUCAAGUCAGCGGUAAAAUUGAGAGGCUCAACCUCUUCGAGCCGUUGAAACUGGUGUUCUUGAGUGAGUGAGAAGUAGGCGGAAUGCGUGGUGUAGCGGUGAAAUGCAUAGAUAUCACGCAGAACUCCGAUUGCGAAGGCAGCAUACCGGCGCUCAACUGACGCUCAUGCACGAAAGUGUGGGUAUCGAACAGGAUUAGAUACCCCGGUAGUC
rnacentral:rRNA from 1 species